rnacentral:rRNA from 1 species
UACGAAGGGGGCUAGCGUUGUUCGGAAUUACUGGGCGUAAAGCGUGCGCAGGCGGCCUUCCAAGUCAGGGGUGAAAGCCCAGAGCUCAACUCUGGAAUUGCCUUUGAGACUGUGAGGCUUGAGUACGGGAGAGGUGAGUGGAACUCCCAGUGUAGAGGUGAAAUUCGUAGAUAUUGGGAAGAACACCGGUGGCGAAGGCGGCUCACUGGCCCGAAACUGACGCUCAUGCACGACAGCGUGGGGAUCAAACAGG